ACCUACAUCACGCUGUACGCGUGACAUGAGCACUCUAUUAGCUCACAGGGAAGAGAGAGAACAACAGACGAAAGAAAAAUGGUUGCAGUUCUGGUAAUAGGAUAAGACAGGAUAGAUGGACUGUCAAUUCUGGACUGUGAGUUGCACUGGGUUUGAAUUUGAUGUAGCAGCUUCUUUUCGAACCAGCUGAAAGGAAAUCGGUGCAACAUUUGGAUAUUUGCAAUAUAAUCCAGCCAUCAAGAUGCAGUGGAAAAUUCCAGAAAAUGAAUCGUUCAGGUCUGCAUACCCAACCCAGCAUGCUGCGGGUUCCCCAUUGCCAUCCCUAAUUUGGGUCAUGUUGACAUAGCUAUCAGACUCAACAAGCUAAACCCAGCAAUGAUGGAGAACUGGCCCUGCAGAGACUGAGCGAAUAUAGUGCCAGUGCCACUGUCAAUGCGCCCGAUCCACUCCAGUCCUUUUCCUGGUUUCUGACGGAUCCAGUGGAGCCAGCUAAGCGAGAGUCCGGACACGGUGCAGGACAGAGUGACGGAUUCUCCAGGUUUCUUCACCACAGAAGCAGAGGAGGUCAGGGACUGUCCAUAAGAAUCUGAAAAAAAAAGAUUAUGAAUAAACAAUAUAAUGCUCUGAGACAGAAAAUAUGCUAAUUUCUAGUGAUGAUCAUGUGGAAAUCUCUGGAACGUACAUGAAAUUAGCACAGAUAAAA